GAAAGAUUAUCCUGGAAGGUCCAGUCCUUAAAAGGCAGGCCGAGGAGAUUUGACUACAGAAGUAGGAGGUAUGAUGACAGAAGUAAGAGAUUAGAGUGUUGGGGAUGCAAGCCCAGGAAUGAUAAGUAAUACUAAGGAAUCCUGGCAGCCUCUAGAAGCUAGAAGAAGCAAAGAAUAGAUUCUCUCCUGGAGCCUCCAGAAGGAACCAACUGCGCAGAAAUAAAUGAGAUUUCAAAAGUAUUCAUCGGGGGAUAGUGGAACAACGAUUGGAGAAGUGAUGGGGUGUUUUUCUAGAAAGGAGUCUGUAACUUGGGAGAAUCACAGAAUAUCCAGGCUGGAAGAGGCUUUAAAGUACCUGGCAUGCAAUGCGUAAUGUGGUAUGCAGAAAUGAUGAAAAAGUCAACUGGGAUUACAGAAUCCAGCAUUCUACAUUUUUUAAUGUUCCAUUUUCAACUCAAAGGGCUUUGAUAUGAAUACUGAUGAAAUCAAAUGAGAUCAUAUAUAUUGUUGAAUGCAUUACUGCAAACACCAUGUUCUAGUGAUGGGAAAAGAAGACAUAGCAAAUAAACCAAACCCAGAAUUUUAAAUUUCAGCAUGAAUUUAGGAACAGUCUUCAGAUUCAACUUUUAGUAUGUGAACUGUAGUGAAAUAUGUAAACAAAAAAAGAGCUUGCUUUGUGUUCACAUAAAUGCAUAUGUUAGUAGGAAUCAUGCACCAUGUAACAUUAAAAGACAUGAUAUAAUAUGUAAUAUAAAAGACUCUGUAGUAUAAAUGAGUCUAAGGAAAUACACUACGCAUACUGGGGUUUAGCUAGAAUUACUAUGACAACCAUAACUUUUGCAUUUCCUAAUUUUUUUUCAGUUUGAAAAAAUGUCACAUUAAAUGUCACAUUACCAUAGGUUUUGGCUUUCUCUUUUCUAUGUAGUUCAAAAAGAAAAGUCACACACCAGUGCUCCUGUUAAAUCCUCAUUUAAUUAAGUGUACCUCUUGAACACAUCAAACUUGUUCAGGGAUCAAACGUCUGGGUGGGUACCAUCGCAGUUAAGAAAAAAAAGAGAGAAAAGAAAGACUACAGUAAAGUCUUAGAAUAGAAUUUGCAAAAGAUUUAUGGCACGUAGAAUUUUCAGUCAAUGUACCAAAUUAUCCUACUACAAAUUUCUUUCUUCCAAGUUAUUCACUGAUAGAAGAAUGACAUAAGAAAAAGGGGACAUCAUUUGACCCUUAGGACAUGAAACCUAUCUGUAUAAGAAACCCACAGAAAUUUUAUUUCUAGAUUAUUCAGAAAACAUAAAUAGAGGAGAAUCUGUUUAUAAUGUUGUUGCUUGGCUUAACCGUAUCCUACAUUAGCUUUACGGAGUGAUUAUUUUUCCAAGUGUUUUUAUUGGAAUCUAUAGAAUUUAGCUCUCUUUUCUUGGGGCUCAACUGUGUCACAUAAAAGUCUGCAAACUACAUUUGCUUGUCCCUUUUAUCUCUUUAUCAGGGCCCAUCACCAUUUCUGGUUCUUCCAUGUGCCAUUUUGAAAAUUAACAAAUACUAAUUUAGUACAUAGGAGACAUUUAGUAGAGCCUUUAGAUGAAGUCUCUGAUCAUAGGGGUCAAAUAAUCUUACAGGGGAAUUAAAUCAGUAUGUACAUUCACAUUCACUCAUUUAUUCAUUAAUUUAACAAAUAGCUAUUAGGAACCCACCCUAUGCCAGGUACCAGACACACACACACACACACACACAUGACAAGCUGGAGAUACUAUAUGUGUAUCUAGACUCUGUUCAAAUGUGGAGGAGCUGGGAAAGCUAAGGUCUGGAAAGGGCCACUUGGGAUAUUAGAGAUUAAGUCACUUACCAGCUCACUAGAGACUGGCAAGUCUGGAGAAGUUGGAGCUUGUAGGGAAAUCCUAGAAGCUGAGCACAUUCUGUUGCUGAAGAGAGACUGAGAAGGAGGGGCACUGGUGCCUCUUCAUUGAGCGUCUGGGGUUGGUCUGGUCUGCUGUUGAUCCGCAUGGCCACGAUGGACAGGAAACAACCGGAUGUGGAGCAGAGGAGAGUUGGGUCAAGCUGAGACCUGCUGGGCUUCUCUGCAUUCUUCCAUAACAGUGUCUGAUUGUAAAGAAGACUUUCCAAAAAUAAUGACCACUGCUUCAUUUCGUCUCCCCAGUCUAAUGCAAGUUUCUCCUUUGGCCAACUCUAGCCAGCUACCAAGAGGGAAUGAGAUCCUAGCUCCUCACCUAACCAAGGUGACUAUGGCACAGUCCGGCACAACAAUGGUCAUUACAGAAACAGUUGCUGCCCCUGGGAUGCUUAAGGACGUACAGCACAUAUAAUGAAGCUACAAAAGGAAGAGGCGAAGAAGGGAACCCAAGUGACAAGAUAGAGCUGUGUAGGAUUAUGGGCGAAAGAUUGUUGGAGAGACUCAUGGAUCUGUAGUUGAGGAAAAGGGAAGAAGAGGAGAUGAAGGAUAUAAUAAUUCGUGUAAAAUAUAUGUUCCAGCCCCCUCCCUUGUGACCUUUGGAUGCUUCACAGUCCAGCUCUGAACCUGCUUUCAAAUGGAGAAAGUCUGCCAUACUCUCUGGAACAGAGAGAGAGAGACAGAGAAAGAGAGAAAGAAAGAAAGAAAACCAGUUCCAGCUCUCCCUCCCUGUGUGGUCCAGGCCGCAAACACCUGGUUCAGAAGAGAAAUGCAAUCACAGUGGAACAGUGGGCUGGGAUACCAAACAAAAGCUUGAAAUGUGAAAAAGGAAAAAAAAUCUAUCUUGUCAGCACAUCAGCAAAAUUGGAUAAAAGUUGCCGUAUAGUGACAGGUAGAAAACUUGGAGUGUAAAUGAAAGACAAAACAUCAGCUCCAGUGACGGGAGAAGUAGACUAAUCUUUGUGAACACCUACUUCGCGUCUGCAUGUUAUCUACGCUGUCCUUCCAAAUUCUACCAACAAGACGCUAUUAUUCCUGUUUUCUAGACAACAACACUGAUACUUAUGGAGGCGAAAUUCUUGCUUGAAAUGACUGCAGUUAACGAUGGCAGAUUCCACUUUUGAAACCUUGUCUAUCUGACUCCCACUCUACGUUCUUUCCACUAUGAUGUAUUGCCUCCAUGGGAACUAAUAGUCAUUCUGGUCUUAUGGCCUUCAACUGGCUGGAUGAGGUCCACCCACACUGGGGAGGACGAUCUCCUUUAUUCAGUCUACGGAUUCAAAUGUUAAUCUCAUCCAGAACCACCCUCAUAGACACGCCCAAAAUAAAGUUUGACCAAAUAUCUGGGCACCCUGUGGCCCAGUCAAGUUGACACAUAAAAUUAACCAUCACAGGUGGUAUCUCCUGGUUUUUCG
rnacentral:lncRNA from 1 species